AGAUAAAAUAGGGGAUCAGGCGCUCGGCCGCAGGCGGCCGCGGGAAUUGAUUAGAGUUUGAUUAUGGCUCAGGAUGAACGCUGGCGGCGUGCUUACACAUGCAAGUCGAACGGACUCAUAUUGAAACCUAGUGAUUUAUGAGUUAGUGGCGGACGGGUGAGUAACGCGUGGAUAACCUGCCGUAUACCGGGGGAUAACACUUAGAAAUAGGUGCUAAUACCGCAUAAGCGCACGGCUCUGCAUGGGGCAGUGUGAAAAACUCCGGUGGUAUACGAUGGAUCCGCGUCUGAUUAGCUAGUUGGCGGGGUAACGGCCCACCAAGGCAGCGAUCAGUAGCCGGCCUGAGAGGGUGGACGGCCACAUUGGGACUGAGACACGGCCCAAACUCCUACGGGAGGCAGCAGUGGGGAAUAUUGCACAAUGGGGGAAACCCUGAUGCAGCGACGCCGCGUGAGUGAAGAAGUAUCUCGGUACGUAAAGCUCUAUCAGCAGGGAAGAAAAUGACGGUACCUGACUAAGAAGCCCCGGCUAACUACGUGCCAGCAGCCGCGGUAAUACGUAGGGGGCAAGCGUUAUCCGGAUUUACUGGGUGUAAAGGGAGCGUAGACGGCAGCACAAGUCUGGAGUGAAAUCCCGGGGCUUAUCCCCGGAACUGCUUUGGAAACUGUGCGGCUGGAGUGCAGGAGGGGUAAUCGGAAUUCCUAAGUGUACCGGUGAAAUGCGUAGAUAUUAGGAGGAACACCCGGUGGCGAAGGCGGCUUACUGGACUGUAACUGACUUUGAGGCUCGAAAGCGUGGGG
rnacentral:rRNA from 1 species